GCGGGAGUGGCGAAGUGGUAUCGCGUCUCCUUGCCAAGGAGAAGAUCGCGGGUUCGAAUCCCGUCUCCCGCU
rfam:Parcubacteria (Azambacteria) bacterium GW2011_GWE2_46_45 TX55_C0029, whole genome shotgun sequence.